GACCCCAGGUCAGGCGGGGUUACCCGCUGAGUUUAAGC
rnacentral:rRNA from 20 species